ensembl:lncRNA
CAUAGACUCAUAGAAUCAUUAAGGUUGGUCCUAUGAUUCCAUAGGUUUUUUGUUUUUGCAUUACAAAUAGCACUUUAUCAUAUCAAUACUCCAGCUGAGGCACUUUCAUGGUUCCUCUACUGCCAUUGACAGACAUGCAGUGGAAUUUUUAAGUGCUUCAGCAGUCUCUUGUGAAACAGCAAACAGAUCUAUCAUGAAAAAUGUCUCUCCCCUCCUCUAUAUUAACAGAAUUGUGUAUGUUCAAUGCUGUGAAUGCCUCAAAAAUGGGGUAGUUUUAUAUUUUGUUUCUUUGGGGUUUCUAAAUUGGAAAUAGACAUCAACUAAAAGAAAGCAGUCAGUAUUCACAAGGUGGAUAAAUCUAGCAUGAUUUUAAUGAAAAAGUCUCACUUCAUAAUGAAUAAUUGAACAUAAUUUAUAAACAUAUUAUGGGAAAAUAUGGAUUAAAAUACAACUGUUUUCACCUGAUAUCUAGUUACUGAGGAGAGAGAGGGCCUAGUCUACGGGAUCCUUAUUGAAAGUUUUGAUGCUAAACAUCUUUUUAAUAUUUUCUGUCCACUACAGAUGUUACACAGUCAGAACUUUUAACAUUCCUGAUUGUUAUUCCUAAAGAGUAGUUACAUAUGUUUGAGUUACGGACUGAACACACAAACAGGCACAUAAGCACAAAGGAGCACAAGCACAGAAGCGAAGCAAAGCGGAGAAGAUUCUUGGCCACUGAAAAUUGCAUCAGUGAAACUAACAGGACAGCUGGCUCACUGGCCUACUAUACCCAAAGCGAUGACUUUAUUUUUGUCUUAAACACCCAGGAAAUGAGUAAAACAACCCAGAAUUUUUCCAUUCCCUUGUGGUGCAAACUACCAAAUCCUUAGUUAGGAAAGAAUUGAUUACAAAAUCCCUCAGAAAACAAAAAGUCUUUAUAAGUCUUGUGAAAAAUCUGCAGCUGAUCUUCAAAACAAUCAAUCAUCCAGGGCUAUUUCACUCUCACUGAUUAGUCUUACUUCAUUAUUUUACUCUUUGCCCAAUUUUUCACUCUCCAACUUCCAUCCUGCUGUCUCAUUUUCACCUUAUUGCUUCCUGCCCCCAGUCUGGAAGUCACAACCAGCAAAGCUGAAUGCAGCUCCACCACUACAAGAGGGAGCCCAUGCAAGUUUAUGUAACAGAGAAUCUCAGUAGGAAUUAAGAUCACAUGUGUCAGGUAGAUUAAGUGUGAAGAUCAGUCAAUUACAUUUUGACAUCUAGCAUGCAACAAUUCCUACUCACUGUGAACCAGGAAGUGAAAAGGUUUAUGUUUAUACAACAUUAAAUAAAGCAGUGUAAUAUUUAUCUGAGUGGCAUCAAGUCAGAUUGUGUAGUGGCAGGAGUGCAUUGAUGUGCAGAACAAAGGCAUUUCCUAAUAGGAUUUUCCGUAGUCAAUUUCACUGCAGCACAGUCAGAUAACCACUUUGUUAUAUUGUCAGUGAAGUUUUUCUGCUUCUAAAAAUGAUUUUUGUUCUGAAGGUUUGGAUUCCAUAUGAGUUGUAAAAUGCUCCACAUCAGACAGGACUGUGUGGAUGUGGCCUAGGUUUAAGCCAUUUAUACUUUAUCAUCCAUAUCACUUGUGGAGACUCAGCCUUUAGUGCAUACAGACCACAGGUGCAGAACAAGCUGGCCUCUUAGAAAUGGAUUCUGAACUUUGUCUGAGACUAGCCUGGGUCUGAACAGGAGUCAGCAUCAGGCAAAGUAUCACCAGCAGGAAAAGAGAGGGGAUUCUUCCCAUUAACUUGACAUUGGUGAGAUCACCUCUGGAGUGCUGUGUCUAGUGCUGUCCUACACUACAGUAGUCCAAUGGAGGGCCACCAAGGUGAUGAAGGGCAUGCAGCAAUUUCCCUAUGAGGUCAGAGAGCUGGGACUGUUCUUUCCAGAGAAUAGAAGGCUCGGGAUUUUACCAGUGUCUGUAAAUACCUGAAGGGAGGGUAUGAAGAGGAUGAAAUUGGACUUUUUUCAGUGGUGCCAGUGCCAGGAUGAGAGGCAAUGGGCACAAACUGGAACACCAGAAGUUCCUUCUGAAAAUCAGUAAGCAUUUAUCUGCUGUGCAGGUGAUGGAGAACUGAUGCAGGCUACCCAGAGAGGAUGUAAGUUCUCCUCCUUGAACAUCUUCAAAAGCUGCUUGGACAUUGUUCUGUGGACCCUGCUCUGGCAGCCCUGCUUAAGUAGAGUUGGAGCACAUAAAUCCAGAGGUCUCUGCCUAUCUCAGCAAUUCUGUAAUUCUGUGAACUAUAGACUAGGCACAUGGUAUGCAAUGAGCUAAAAAAUACACCAUGUUAUACAAGGAGGAUGUCAAGACCUCACAUUUUGCCCAGGCCUUCAUAUUUUAAGAUCUCAGCACAGGCAGAAUGAGGCAACUACACGUGAACAUCGAUUGAUUUUCAGCAACUGUACUCUCUAUGUCUGCAGGUAUUCAGCAACAGUACCUAUAAAGUUCAGUGAAGCAGAAGCAUGCCACUCGAGUCCUCAAAUUCCUAUUUGGAAAGAUAGAUGCUGGUCAUACAGAAGAAACUGACUAGAAGAGGCAUGUAAGUAUAUGUUUAAUUUGACUACAGAUUAGACACAGGCUGGAAUUUAAAUAUAUGCUUAAAUGUUUUCUCAGAUGUGGUCAUAAAAUAGGACUACAGUGCACACAUAAAGAAUUUCAUGGGCUAUUGACUAGUUCUGGAGAAAUAAAAAACUUCUCCCUCUGUCAUAUAUUGUGUUGAAAUACUUCUGGGGCCAAUACUGCUUCACAACUCAAUAAUGAAGUUGGAUAAUUAAGUACUGAGCAAUUCUCAGUUUGAAAAUAAGUUGUUGGGUUUUUUUUUCAACAGAUGAACAUCUAACAAAAUAUGCCUAACUUCAUUGUUGACCAGUUCCUUCUCCACCACAGUCCUCCAUCCUCUUUUCUUUUAUUUGGCAAACCAACAUUUAGGUACCAUCAAAGGACAGAAAGAAUUUCUGGGGCAAUUCCUGAAAUACCUGAGUAAAGAACUGAAUUCCACAGCUUUUCUCCCAAUCAAAAAAGAGAAGAUUUUUUUUAACAUUAAAGAAAAACAACCUUUAAAAUUGUAUAAAAUACUAUUUUGAUUAUUUAAAUUGGAUUCUAAAUAAUUAGUCAAAUAUUACAAGAUAUAUUACUUGUAUUUAUACUUAUAUUACUAUGUAUUAUAUAUGCUAAGAUUACUACUUCUCUGAAAGGGUGGUCAGGCACUGGAAUGGGCUGCCCAGAGAGGUGGUGGAGUCACCGAGCCUGGUGGUGUUCAAAGAGUGUUUGGAUGUUGUGCUGAGGGACAUGGUUUAGCGAGAACCAUUGGUGAAGGGUGAAUGGUUGGACUGGAUGAUCCUGUGGGUCUUUUCCAAUCUUAGCGAUUCUAUGAUUCUAUGAUUAGGAGACAGGCACAGGAGAA